rnacentral:tRNA from 1 species
GCCUGGGUGGCUCAGUUGGUUAAGCAUCUGACUUCGGCUCAGGUCAUGAUCUCUCAGUUUGUGGGUUCAAGCCCCGUGUCAGGCU